rnacentral:rRNA from 1 species
UACAGAGGUCCCAAGCGUUGUUCGGAAUCAUUGGGCGUAAAGCGCGCGUAGGCGGCGCGGUAAGUCGGGUGUGAAAUCUCGGAGCUUAACUCCGAAACUGCAUUCGAUACUGCCGUGCUUGAGGACUGGAGAGGAGACUGGAAUUUACGGUGUAGCGGUGAAAUGCGUAGAGAUCGGGAAGAACAUCGGUGGCGAAAGCGCUCUACUGGACCGCAACUGACACUCAGGGACGAAAGCUAGGGGAGCGAAUGGG